UCUACUUCUUGUUCUUUGUCCGCAUCUCCGUCUUUCUCCCCAGCUGAACUUUGGGGUAACUCCACCUGCUCCGCUUCAUCAGUCGUUUCCAGCUCACGGUCAGGCUCCUCUUCAUUCGCCUUAGCUAUCUUGCCAAGGUCCCCGUCCUCCUCCCCAUCGCUGACAUCAGAAUGAUCUGUUUUGCGUUUCUUGGACUCCUUCGGUUUCCUCAACGUUGCUGAGGGAGCAGCGCUGGGGGCAUCAGUUCCUGGUAGGGUGGUAGCUUUCUCCUUCUUCCGAAUGCUUUCGCCGGAAUUUCCAUGCUUUCUUUUCCUCUUUUUAGAGGAUUCCUUAGCCGUUUCCAUCGUUAUUGGCAUAUUCCUGUGUUUCUCCUUUCCCUUUUUUUGGCUCUUCCUCUCUCUUUCUUUUCCUCUGUGCACCCCGACGUUGUUGUCGAGUUUACCUAAUUUUUAGUUCUUUGCGUUUGGCUUGCAAAAAAAAAAAAAAAUAAAAGUGG
rnacentral:sRNA from 2 species